CCAAUCAACAGCCAGAACCGAUGGUUGCGUAGUGUCCCCACCCCCUCGGGCACGCCUCUCUUCGAUAAGCCACGCCCAACUGCCCUCCAGCCGCCUUCCCUUUCGGCGGUUUCCGCGCGGUCCUAAUGUGUGGUGGCUGACCGCGGGCUGGGGUGGGGAAGGACGCGGUAGGACUGUAGGAGAUGGCUAGGUGUGCUAGAGCGCGGCAAGGCGCUGCUGAGACCCGCGUGUGCGGAGGGAAGUGGGGAACUGCCCCUUUUCCAAGGGCCUGAACACAGCUUUUGACUACUGACUGUCCUGUUCUGCCUUCCUCUUCGCGUGGGCCACCGCCCCACAGCGCCGCUGGGUUCCCUUCGCGGCCGCAUGGUACGCGUCCCGGGAGCGAAGCUUCCCCUGGGGGGAGCGCGCUAACCUGAGCUCCUUCGGUGCACCGCCCUGCCGACUGUCUGGAAGUCAGCAAUGGGAUAUUCCCACCACAACUUUACCGGGAUCUCUGGGUUGACUCUCUGGGUUGAGGAUCGGGGAGCUGGGUCGGGAGGCUGGCUUGUGGCUGUGGUUGAGGGGCCCGGACGCCUCGAAAGCAGGAGGGUGCCCAGGCGAAGUGCAGGCUGCACCAUGCAAUCUUCCGGGCGCAGAGGCGACCCAACCCGACCUGAGGGAGAUCCACGGGCUCUGGGCCGAGGGGAGACGCAGUGGAAUGAACUGAACUGCUGGUCCACAAGAACAGUUUUUCUAUCAAAGGAUACCAUCAAAUUCUGGAGAAGUUCUACAAAUCAUAAUCUAUUUCCCUUUUUCCAGAAAGGCAACUUGAUUCGGGGGGAUAUGGCAGCUUCCACUCUGAGGUGCCCUUACUUCAAAUCAGGCCCAGCCCAAGAUCGUGUUUUCCCUAAGCUGGGCUCAUCAUCAGAGAGGUGGGGGCCGGGCCAAAUCUUAAAGAGCCACUUGGCGACUCUAACGACUGGCAAAGAGGAAAGAAAUUGGAAUUCUAGUAGCAUGUAUCCAACUGUUUCAAACCUCCACCUGCUACAUGGGCGUGGCUUCUGA
rnacentral:lncRNA from 1 species